rnacentral:piRNA from 1 species
UUCAGUAGUAGCUGUGAAUGGGAGUC